CACGCGCCCGGACGGCGGGCCGGACGUGUGGUUCUCCUACACCGACCACACGACGGUGCCGAGCGUGCAGCGGUUCGACGCCGCGACGCGCGCC
rnacentral:tRNA from 1 species